CCCCAUCAGUAUUCUUGUCAAUAGAACUCUCCUUAAUACUCCCUUUCAACUCAGGCAAAACCUCAGGCAUCAACACCACCACCAACCUCUUUUCUUCAGUCAACAAACCACAAUCCAAAACCCAACAAUNNNNNNNNNNCUCUCAUUUCUAUCCCCAAAAACACUCCCGAAAUACACCCUCGAAAACUCCUUCAAAACCG
rnacentral:misc_RNA from 1 species